CGCACUGGGCAUGAUAGUACGGCGAGUGAGCGGCACAGCUCAAUUUGAAAUCUGGCUUCGGCCCGAGUUGUAAUUUGCAGAGGAAGCUUUAGGCGCGGCACCUUCUGAGUCCCCUGGAACGGGGCGCCAUAGAGGGUGAGAGCCCCGUAUAGUUGGAUGCCUAGCCUGUGUAAAGCUCCUUCGACGAGUCGAGUAGUUUGGGAAUGCUGCUCAAAAUGGGAGGUAAAUUUCUUCUAAAGCUAAAUACCGGCCAGAGACCGAUAGCGCACAAGUAGAGUGAUCGAAAGAUGAAAAGCACUUUGAAAAGAGGGUUAAAUAGCACGUGAAAUUGUUGAAAGGGAAGCGCUUGUGACCAGACUUGCGCCGGGCGGAUCAUCCGGUGUUCUCACCGGUGCACUCCGCCCGGCUCAGGCCAGCAUCGGUUCUCGCGGGGGGAUAAAGGUCCUGGGAACGUAGCUCCUCCGGGAGUGUUAUAGCCCGGGGCGUAAUGCCCUCGCGGGGACCGAGGUUCGCGCAUCUGCAAGGAUGCUGGCGUAAUGGUCAUCAGCGACCCGUCUUGAACAACGGACCAA
rnacentral:rRNA from 1 species